ACGAUGUAGCUUGCUACAGGCGUCGAGCGGCGGACGGGUGAGUAACGCGUAGGAACCUACCUAGUAGUUUGGGAUAGCCAUUGGAAACGAUGAUUAAUACCGGAUACGCCCUACGGGGGAAAGUGGAGGACCUUCGGGCUUCACGCUAUUAGAUGGGCCUGCGUAAGAUUAGCUUGUUGGUGAGGUAAUGGCUCACCAAGGCGACGAUCUUUAGCUGGUUUGAGAGGAUGAUCAGCCACACUGGGACUGAGACACGGCCCAGACUCCUACGGGAGGCAGCAGUGGGGAAUAUUGCACAAUGGGCGCAAGCCUGAUGCAGCCAUACCGCGUGUGUGAAGAA
rnacentral:rRNA from 1 species